ensembl:snRNA U6 U6 spliceosomal RNA
UUACUUUGGCAGUACAUAUACUAAAAUUGGAACACAUACAGAGAAGAUUAGCAUGGCCCCAGUGAAAGGAUGACACUCAAAUUCAUGACAGAUUCUGUAAUUUU